UCGAGGAUCUUCGGCAAUGGGCGCAAGCCUGACCGAGCGACGCCGCGUGCGCGAUGAAGGCCUUCGGGUUGUAAAGCGCUGUCGAGGGGGAGGAAAGCCCGCAAGGGUCUGACCUAUCCCUGGAGGAAGCACGGGCUAAGUUCGUGCCAGCAGCCGCGGUAAGACGAACCGUGCGAACGUUGUUCGGAUUCACUGGGCUUAAAGGGCGCGUAGGCGGGUGAUCGAGUCUGGGGUGAAAUCCUCUCGCUUAACGAGAGAACUGCCCUGGAUACUGGUCAUCUCGAGGAAGGUAGGGGCAUGUGGAACUUCCGGUGGAGCGGUGAAAUGCGUAGAUAUCGGAAGGAACGCCGGUGGCGAAAGCGACGUGCUGGACCUUUUCUGACGCUGAGGCGCGAAAGCCAGGGGAGCAAACGG
rnacentral:rRNA from 1 species